rnacentral:rRNA from 1 species
UACGUAGGGUGCAGGCGUUGUCCGGAAUUAUUGGGCGUAAAGAGCUCGUAGGCGGUCUGUCGCGUCUGCUGUGAAAACUCGGGGCUUAACCCCGGGCCUGCAGUGGGUACGGGCAGACUAGAGUGCGGUAGGGGAGACUGGAAUUCCUGGUGUAGCGGUGAAAUGCGCAGAUAUCAGGAGGAACACCGGUGGCGAAGGCGGGUCUCUGGGCCGUAACUGACGCUGAGGAGCGAAAGCGUGGGGAGCGAACAGG